CCUACGGGAGGCAGCAGUGAGGAAUAUUGGUCAAUGGACGCAAGUCUGAACCAGCCAUGCCGCGUGCAGGAUGACGGCUCUCUGAGUUGUAAACUGCUUUUGUUCGAGGGUAAACGCAGAUACGCGUAUCUGUCUGAAAGUACCGUAUGAAUAAGGAUCGGCUAACUCCGUGCCAGCAGCCGCGGUAAUACGGAGGAUUCAAGCGUUAUCCGGAUUUAUUGGGUUUAAAGGGUGCGUAGGCGGGCGGAUAAGUUAGAGGUGAAAGUCCGCGGCUCAACUUCGGAAUUGCAUGUGAUACUGGUCGGCUAGAGUGUAGUUGAGGUAGGCGGAAUGUAUGGUGUAGCGGUGAAAUGCUUAGAGAUCAUACAGAACACCGAUUGCGAAGGCAGCUUACUAAUCUACUUCUGACGUUGAGGCACGAAAGCGUGGGGAGCAAACAGGAUUAGAUACCCGAGUAGUC
rnacentral:rRNA from 1 species